CAGAAGCAACUUGGGAGAGAGAAGACGCACUGCGAGCCGAGUUCCCUAGUCUAUUUAGUAAUUUAGACGAAUCUCAGGGACGAGAUUAAGCCUAAUUGGGGUAGGUUUGUAACAUCCCAAUUUUCAUCAACAAAAUAAAAUUUAAGUAUACUUCUCGAUUAUAUAGUUAACUUGAUCAACGUUAACAAACAAUCUUCAUUACAAGACCUGUGUCUCUACUCUAUACGAAGGACUUUGCUAGGACUAAUAUAAUUCACACAACCAACUUAAUCAUUGCCCUCCUUUAUUUACUGAACAACCUCCUAAUCUCACCAAGAUCAUUUGUGCUACCCCAAUUGAAAACACUUUACAGCAACCCAUUCCUUUCAAUGGCCAGCCACGUGCUUCUAUCCUUGCACAAAACGUCAAUCUUCUCCCCUCACGCAAAAGCCUACCUUUUCCUUCCCUGUCCAGGAGCAACACAGAUGCACGCCCUCACCUUCCAGUAGCACGAAACGCCAUGACAGUACCUGCAACAAAGCUCACCAGUCCCUUUCCAUGGAAGCCUCGCGACCUCGCCGUACAUCGCAAUAACUCACAGUCAACCGAUAGCAGCACCUACUCUCCUUUACUCACGCCCGGCGCCGGGAACCGACCUCCAUUCCUGCCAGCAACAUGCGUGUAGGAGCUUGCAAGUUGUCCGCCACCGCCUUCUCAGCUUAUGAUGCACCAUCGACACAUCUCGUCGUGCAAGUGGACCUUGCCCCAAGGAGACGCCGUGCUGCCGGACUCGAACACGUCGCUGCCGAACUUGAGAGGACGCCACGAGCAGAGAGAGAGAGAGAGCAGCAGCUCGACGACGCCCUCGUGUACGUCCGACCAGCCAGGCCGCCCUCCGCAAUCCACGCCUGAGCCGUGCCCCACUGCAGGUCGAAUCGUCCUGCCCGCCUUGGAACUCUGCGACGUCGCUGUGCCAUCGUCGCCGCGAACAGUUCGCCGGCCGAGAUUUUUCUCGCCACGAACCACCUUUGGCCGCCUGUAAAUUGAGCCGGGUGCUGCACCAUGACACCUCACACCAUCCGCAGCUCGUCGCUGUGCACACCCGCCACAGACCAAGCCAUUCUUCUUCCUCUAGCCGAAGAACAAAGCACCGUCGAUCUCCUUCCGCAGCUCGUCCCCAGCUCGAUUGAGCCGCAGAAUCGAUUCCGGAGGAGAGUCCGGAGGAACCAGGAGACCAGGAAGACGCCGCCGUCGACGGAGGAUCCUGACUUUGUGUCUGAAGAUUACGAGUAGAACGUGUCCGCACCCAAGCUGAUCGAGUGGAGCCAUGAUGGACGAAGAGCUAGUCUUGCAUGUCGUUAUGCUAAUCGUUAUCCUAUGGUUAUUUGCGGUAGCUUGGUGUUGUCACUUUACUCAUCGUGUACGUGUUGAAUAAAGCUUUGUAUGACUUUGGACUCCACUUGAUGUAACAUGUAUUGUACUGGGGACUUGCUUGGAUUAUUAAUACAUGGUUUAGCCUCGAUCUUUGGUUCGGGGCGCUUCAA